UAGGGAAUCUUCCGCAAUGGACGCAAGUCUGACGGAGCAACGCCGCGUGAGUGAAGAAGGAUUUCGGUUCGUAAAACUCUGUUGUUAGAGAAGAACAGCGCAUAGAGUAACUGUUAUGCGUGUGACGGUAUCUAACCAGAAAGCCACGGCUAACUACGUGCCAGCAGCCGCGGUAAUACGUAGGUGGCAAGCGUUGUCCGGAUUUAUUGGGAGUAAAGCGAGCGCAGGCGGUCAAUUAAGUCUGAUGUGAAAGCCCCCGGCUCAACCGGGGAGGGUCAUUGGAAACUGGUUGACUUGAGUGCAGAAGAGGAGAGUGGAAUUCCAUGUGUAGCGGUGAAAUGCGUAGAUAUAUGGAGGAACGCCAGUGGCGAAGGGGACUCUCUGGUCUGUAACUGACGCUGAGGCUCGAAAGCGUGGGUAGCAAACAGG
rnacentral:rRNA from 1 species